UGUAUUUUCUCUCUCCUCUCCCCUCCCCUGGCUCUGCUAACGAGAUUCCAUCUGAGCUGUGGGCGCAGAGUGGGAGCAGGUCUGCGGGAAGUGCACCGAGGGAGUGUGGGCGUCAGCUGCCCACCUUCCCCAGGUGUUCCUGAAGAAGGGGGCUGUGGGCGUGAGGACCAGGCAGCUGGAUGUUUAUCUUUCUUUUAUGAGCUAGAUACGGUGGUUAACGCGGCAGUAUGCUCAGUGUGUAACGUGAACAGGAAGGUGCCACCCCUGUACACACUCUAUUUUUGACGUUACUGACCGUAGAACAGGCCCUUGAUUCUCUUGGGAGCAGCCUCAGCCUGAGAAAGAAGAGCUUCAGUGGUCCAGAUCAUACAUUUCCUUCCCACGUGGAAAAAGGGGUCUACGGCUGAGCCUGGGUGCUUUCUUUCCUCCCAGCUUUCUUGAAUGUGGGGUCUACGUCUUGUUCACCCUUAGAACUCACAGUGCCCGGCACGAGUUACUGCAACCAUGACGAUGACAAAGAUGCCCUAAAUCUGGAGAGACGGACCCUGUGCCAGGUUAUAUGCCACUCUACACAGACCUCCUUUGCUUACUGAAUCCUCACAGCCCUGUGAAUUAAGUCUUUUAUUACUGUCAUCCUGCAGAUCAGGAAACUGAUACCCAAAAAGGUUGGAAUGAGAUUCCCAUGAUCACGAAGACCUUGCCUGCCGUGUGCCCCUUGCCUGUCAUAGCAGGUGCUCAAUAAAUACACACUCACCUCUCAGUUUCCAAAUUCCUCUGGAGGCCACGCAACCCAGCAGACAGGGUUUGGCGGGUGCGUUCUUUGGUUCUUGCAUAAUGCAUUGGCUUCAAGCUGUUUCUCUUUCUCCAGCAAUCACGGAGGUGAAACUCAAAGUGGCUGAAACCGUGAAGCAGUUUUUACAUCACUGAAGAACCUGCAGGUAUGUGGGUUCAGGCCACUCAGGGGUACAGUGAUAUCACCAAGAGCCCUGGGUUUUUCCCUUUCACACUGUAGCUCUCAGUGUGCAGCCCUCAGUGGCGGCAAGGUGGCUGUGCAUCACAUCUUUUAAACCGUCCAAAGGCGUGUAGGAAAGGCAGGAGCUCUCUCCUGUGCAUCUCUGGUUGUCACAGUGCAAAAUCUGUCCAGAAGCCACGCACAGACUUCCGCUUAUGUUUCCCUGAUGAAAAUUGCCCUCAAUGGCCACCACGCCGACUAGGUCAUCCUUCUUAAAGAAUAGAGAAACCAGGAUGAUCAUGGUUCAUCCGCUGGACCAAAGGAAGGAUUUUGUCUCUCUGAGACAAAAUCUCUGACACCAGAGCAAAGCCAGGAUUUACCUAACAGGGAAGACAAGGAAAGUGCUGUCCACAGUCCUGCCAACCCGGAAAUGCUUACAUGACAACCUAGAGCGCGGCUGUGCUUGGGCGCCAGUUCAGGCCGCAGGAAUUGGGCUCCGCUCUAUCAGCUCUCUGUAUGCUUUUUUUUUUUUUAAAGAAAAGUUUGCCUUGCCACUCAGCAAAAAGAAAACUAUUUAAACAAUUCAUAAGCACAGAAAGUAGCUGGCUGCAGCGGGGUUUUCCCUGUAGGUGAACCCUUAGGUUUUCCAUCUCCAGAGUCCCAGGGACCAGCACACAAUCUGCCAGCCUCUUGUCUUCUGUACCGGAUGGGAUUGGUGAUGCCGCUGGUUUCUUAGCAACAUCGCACCCAGUAGUCAUAAAAAGAUGGCAAAACAGUGCACACUGGUUUUGGGCUCAUGUUCUUCCUCCUCCUGUGCCCCUUAUAUUACAGUGGGACUUUAUUACCCACGUGUUUGCAUCUGUCUCUACCUAGGCGCUGCCUGGGACAAGUACACAAGAGCCGCAGUGCUCACCGUCUUCUCCUCCUAGUCCUUAGCAAACCUGCCGUGCACACCUGAAGAUCUGUCAUUAUUUUCCCUCUGUUUGCUAUUCCAGAGCUUUUCCUUGCUGUAUGUGUUGGGAACGCUUUUCUCCAUGGUCACAAGUCACAAAAAAAUAGGAGAAAGGGUGGGGGGUGAGCCAGAUGUUAGGCUCUAUCAGCAAUACCCAGGCAAGGGUCGAUGCUCCAGAUGUGUCUGCUGAGUGACUGGAAGAAUGGUGGGAAGGGAAGAAAGUGUGGGCUUUCGAAUCGUGCUGGUUGGGUUCAAGUGCAGGGCUUGUGUUUAUCACUUACAUGGUCCAAGUUAAUUUACGUCCCUCUGCAGCCCGCAUUUCCUCGUAUGUAAAAUGGUAGCAGUGGUGUUUAUCUCACAGGUUUGGUGUAAGGACUAACAUUAGUGUAUGAGAAGCACGUAGCAGUAAUGCCUAGGACAUAGCAUAUGCCCCAUAGAUGGUACCUAAGCUGGGGUCACAACCAGAAGACCAUGUGAAGCUCAUGCCAACAGGUGAACAGAAAACCCCCAUCGCCACAGCAAACAGGGGUGCUGGGAGAAUUGUGCAGAGGCAGUGAGACUGGACCAAGGAGCAGCCACGUUCUCCCUCCUAAAGCCAGCGUGGGUGUCGGAGGCCGGUUCACAAAUGGGGAGCAGCAGAACAGGCUAUAGGAGCGAGGAGACAGCAAACUACCAAAAACACUUCAGAAAACAUACAGCUUAAGAAAAGUUAACCCACCCAAGCUCCAAAUCUGAUCUGUGCAGCAUAAAACAGAACAGGGGUACCCAGAGGAGGGAACACGGCCGUGCAAGUUCCGCCACGGAGCUAUGAACUCUUGGACGAGGCUGAGUCCCCUGCGGAAGGUGUGGAAGUUGUCACCUACCAAGGUCCCUUCCUGGCCACCCUGGCUGGGCCUGCAGCAAUGCGGGGAGCAGAGGAGAAACAGCAGAUGCCCAAGAACCAGGACAAAGAAGGUGCCCACCGGCCAAGGACGGAGGUAUUUCCCUUGGCUCUUCCUGGCAGAGGAGUUCUCCCAUUCCAUGAUGCAAAGGGCUUGGAAGUUAUGACAUAAUUUCACUCUGUUUUCCUGGUUGUCGCUGUGGACUAGUAAUAACGCAGUCAUCCUUUCAGUGAACUGCACACCCUUCAUUCAAAGCGUGGAUUCUGCCAUCUUACCUAAGCCACCUGUCGUCCUUAUGGAGCUGAGGUCAGUUGAUGCCUGGGAGCCGGGUGUGGUGGCCCAGGAGCGGUGCUCAUUCACAGAAGCUGUUCUGUCUGAGGAAGCCCACGGUGUCUUCACUCUCCUACUUCCACACCAGAGUCUCUCAGCUUUCCUCAUCUAGGGUCUAACGAAGGCAGAGGUCCCAGACUUUGCGCUCCUUUGUCACCCUGUGCAACAAAAGCCUGGAGAAGGGAGUCCUUGGUAACAGGGAGGGGAUACCCCUGGUCCACGGAGCAGGGAGGGAGGAGACUUUCUUCACCCACAAAAGCCUCGCUCUUCUCCAAGGCAGCAGGGCUUCCGGCUGCUGGCAAGAACUGUCUGAAAAGCAGCGUGGUGACCAUCCCCCAGGGGCAGGGGUGGCCUCCCUGGGAGGCCUCUGGAUCCACGGAAUGACGGGUGGGAGCCCUGCCUGACCGUGAUCCCCUAGCACCUGGGUGAGGAGCGUCCCACACCCACUGCUGAAGCCCAGGGGCGCCCCGAGCUCUCAAAAAGCAGCAAGUCGGGAGCCUGGAGAAGACACCAAGCUCAAGACGACGAACUUGCCUGACUGGGCCACCACGGGUCACACAGCCUUAUCAGGGGAGUCUCAGGGAGCCCCAGGCUGAGAGCGGGUGUUACCCCCACUGCGCAGGGCCCUGCAAGCCGAGCGCUAUCUAUUUAAGACCCUUGACUUUGGUGAGUGGUUUUGCUAGGAAACAGAGGAAAAGGAAAGGAAAACGGAGACAAGAAAAUUAGUUUGAUGGCAAAGCCAUACACAAAGAUGCGUGUUUGACACGGUGGAGAGAAAGGGGCUGAGAAUCAUUUGAGCUGAACCGUAGAGCAGCUGGAGGGGGAGGGGAGCCGUGAGGAGCAGCCACAGACCCUUUCUUCCUCCUGCUUCUUACCCCAGAGGCCCACGGUGACCCACGGUGCAGACUCGAGCAGCUCGCCGCGGCCGUGCAGCCUCCAGCCCGCAGUGUACAGAGAAGCCCAGCCUGAUGUCUCUCGGAGCUUCUCCCCGUCUUCCAUCUUGUCUUGCAAGGGGAGGACGGCAGGGGCCUCACGAGGUUGGAGACCCCAGGCAGUCAGGGGGGCAGUGCCCCACUUAGGGCUGAGGGAGAGGUGGCCUCAGCACACAGGGCGGCUGCCGCUGCUGGCACGCGCCCGCCUCGCCAUCAGAGCACCCUCCCCAGGGACUGCAGGCCCAGGGGAUCCACCAGAGGUCAUGGAAGCUUGGCACUGUGUGUGUUGGGGGCCAACCAGGGCCCCGCUCCAGCAGUAACCCUCCCCUGUGGGUUUGGUCAGUGCAGACGUUCCGCAUAGUCCAGGGAGACAUCUUGAAAGAGAAAACUCUGAGAUGGGAGAGGGGAAGGAGGAGGCGGGAGGGAGGGAAGGGAAGGAAAUACGGAUCAUCUUUGGAAGAUGUCUAAAAGUCCUGUCUGCUUUUGGCGAGGCUGUGGUCAGGCUUUGCUAACUAGUUUGGCGUGGCUCUGCCAUGUGCCUUGUGGUAAGGACCUGCCUCUUCCCGUGGCCACUCCGAGGGUUCUGCAACCAGGCCCCAGCAGCCCUUUGGGUGAGGACCUGUGGUCUCCCCAGAAGGUCUCCUGAGGUGCUUGUUACUCAUGCACCCAGCUUUCAUCUUUGGGGAGAGUCAGCUCGGGGACUGGUCUUUCCAGCGUGUUCUGAGAACCUGCAGGAGGACCUGGUGACUUGGGAGUCGCAAAGUGGACACACCUGACUUUGCUCUGUGACUCAGAGACAAAUGGAUGCUACAGUCCUCACGAUCCAGCCAGUAGAUGCCCCAUCUGUCCCAGAACCAAAUUGGGGUGAGAGCCAUGCAGGGUGGUGCCCAGCUUUGCGGGGAAGACAGCGUGGACCCGGCCAGACCCAGGGUGACCACUUUCUGGCUUUCCCAGAACUAAUUUUCAGCAGGACAAGUCCUACAUCCCAGAAAACCCCUCAGACUAGGUCAACAGGCUGCACGGUCAUUGUCUUGAAGCUCUCUCACUUCCCAGCCAGCAAUUAAACCUCUUUGAGCCUCAGUUUCCCCAGAUGUGAAGUGAGGAUAGAGACACCAACCUUCUGCAGGGCUUGAGAACUGGGGUUGCCGUGUGUUAUGGUUAAAACAUUGUGUCAACUUGGGGAGUCUAGAGGUUUGGCUAAGUAACUUAGCAGGAAGCCAGAAUGCUUACUUUGUA